GAUGAACGCUGGCGGCGUGCCUAAUACAUGCAAGUCGAGCGAACAGACGAGGAGCUUGCUCCUCUGACGUUAGCGGCGGACGGGUGAGUAACACGUGGAUAACCUACCUAUAAGACUGGGAUAACUUCGGGAAACCGGAGCUAAUACCGGAUAAUAUAUUGAACCGCAUGGUUCAAUAGUGAAAGACGGUUUUGCUGUCACUUAUAGAUGGAUCCGCGCCGCAUUAGCUAGUUGGUAAGGUAACGGCUUACCAAGGCAACGAUGCGUAGCCGACCUGAGAGGGUGAUCGGCCACACUGGAACUGAGACACGGUCCAGACUCCUACGGGAGGCAGCAGUAGGGAAUCUUCCGCAAUGGGCGAAAGCCUGACGGAGCAACGCCGCGUGAGUGAUGAAGGUCUUCGGAUCGUAAAACUCUGUUAUUAGGGAAGAACAAAUGUGUAAGUAACUGUGCACGUCCUGACGGUACCUAAUCAGAAAGCCACGGCUAACUACGUG
rnacentral:rRNA from 1 species